ACGGAAACCUCGCCCCACCAAGGCGGCCCCUAAAGAAAAAACGGCCCGCCCGAGGCUCAUAGGUGGAAGGGACUUGCCUUGUCUCAGGCAAUUUGAAAGUAAGCAGAUUGUGUCUAAAGACGUAAGAAUUGUUUUCAAGCAUCCAAAUGAAACAGUGGGAGGUACAGAGAAUAUUGAUUUGUAUAGAGUUGACUUAUGUUUGUGGAUUGUUCAUUCAAUAAAGUCAGGUUUUUUUUUUA